UGACUACGGGUAAAUAGCGUCGUACUAACUCUUAUUCAAAAUUUCGCCGGCAUGGCGCGACAAACCAAACUAGUUAUUCAUAAGUCGCCAACCCUGUUUCACGAGCAAAGCCUGAUUGAAAAGGGCAAAGUUGCGGAAGCCCAAACCGUAGAAGCGCGUGGCAAGCAAAUUCGUCUCCAGGAAACCCAAUGGAUCCUCCGCUCCGUACCAACUUGUCCCUACCAAAAUCGGCUCAAGAGUUUAUUUAAUCGUGCGCACAUAGUAUCAGGUAGCAGGUAACAGGACAUCACAUAGCCUGGGAGUCCCAAAAUUACCGAUUUGAGAAAAGUGUGAACACCACCGGGGAUAGGCACUGACGCUCCCAACUGCACAAGCGAAGAGCACCCUGCUCCUCGGCAAACUGGAACGUGUCCUGACGGGAGCGGAGAAUGAUGCAGGGGAGAUAGAAAGGACUACUCUCGGAUCUGCUUGCUUGCCCAUCCAAGCAGAGUCAGCACAUAAGAAAGGAGCCCAAAUCCCCAUCGGCCCACAAUAGCAAAUGGC
rnacentral:lncRNA from 1 species